CAUGAAGAUAUAUUUCACGUAUUUGGAUCCUCUAAAAAUUUUAACAAAUUCAUAAAGGAAAAGCAGAAUUAUUUGUUCUCUUUCAUCUAAGCCUGCUGACAAAUGCUAAAAUCUAGAGUAAAACUGUUUUUUAAGUUCAGUACAAGAAAAGAAGCAUUUUAGUUUUUCUUUUUUCUUUUUCCUUUCAAACUCUGAGAAUACAGAGAUAAAAAUCCUUUAUCUCCUGGACCAGAAGUCACUAAAUUUCAAGUACAAGAGAAAUGAAAAAGAACAUCAUACAAACUUGGAAUUCAGAAAACAUGAGUGCCAUUUCCUUCCCUUAAUUGAAUAUGGUGCCAGCUUCAGUCUAGACAAGAUCAGAAUAAAAUUCCCUUCUACUCUCUUGCUCAUGAACCUGUGGCUCAGUGGCAUGCAAAGUAAGAUCACUUGCAGGAUGAAAGCAGCAUUUAUGAUUGCUGGGCAGGUUUCCUGAGGUCCUUCCUGUCUUCUGCGUCGCUCAUGCUGGGAGCUGUAGACCAGAGCUGUUCUUGUUUGUCCAUCUUGGCUGCUUCCCCCACUCACUCACUGACUCCUAUGUUGUUUCUUUAAAGGGCUCUUGGGUUUGAGUACUUCUUUACCUUUGAAUUAAAUACUUGCCUCUUCCUUUACACUGAUGAAUUUGGCUGAGCGACUCAAAAGGGAAACGACGUGUAAAGCUUCUUCACCUAUUUUGCUUAAUGCCAGAGCUUCUUAAUUGAAAUCUACCACGGAUAUUUCUCCUUGGAUUCCUACACUUCCUCCUAGCCCCAGGCUUUGUUUUCCUUGAAUUCAGUUACAGGCAUGUGAACAUUUUAGAUAGAGAAAGUAGUGCAAGGCAGGCCUCAGGGACACUAACACUGAGUGGUGAAGCAGCAAAUAAUAUCAAAUGAGCAAAUCAUCAAGAUAAAGAAAUAUGCCAAAUGGUCUUUUACUUUCAGAUGAGUGGCUAAAAAUCCUGAGGAGGCCUCUCACUUGCCAACUGCUACACCCAGGUUAUGCC
rnacentral:lncRNA from 1 species